UAUUAACCCCUUACCGCAUACAGAGCCAUAUAUGGACGACGAAGUUUAUGAAUUUUUUAUAGGCUAACUAUAAACAAUAUCUAAAAAAACUACCUUACAUCUUAAACAGCAUUUCAUCGAGAAUUGGAAUGUAAUUAAUUUAUACAGUGUAAAUAUUAUCCAUCAGAUAUAUUAUAGAUUUAGUCUAGCGCGUGCGACGGUUUGGGUGCGCGGAAAAAACCGUGAUUUUCAAAUUAAGAUUUCAAUAUCAAAAAGGUCUAAUAAACACUUUUUUGCAAAAAAAUAAUUUUUAUUUCAUCUCCUUAAUAAUUCAUGCAAUAAGGGGUUAAAUAGAUGCAUUAUACCAUUUA